AUUAAGAUGGCUGAUAAUAAGCAAUAAAUUGUAAAUUUAUUUAUGAAUAAAAUUCUCUUGAUA
rnacentral:tRNA from 1 species